GCCGACGUGGCGGAAUUGGCAGACGCGUUGGACUCAAAAUCCAAUGUCCUUUACCGGACGUGUGGGUUCGACCCCCACCGUCGGCA
rnacentral:tRNA from 7 species